UCAAAUCCUCAUAUUUGUGAUUCAAAUGUUUCUGAGGCUAGUGUUAAAUGCUUUUGUUGUAUAAGUACACUUUGUGCCUAAUUAAAUGUCGAUGGUAAAUAUGAACUUACGUGUUUUGUGGAAGUUUUAAAAGACUUCUUAUGUUUAGGAUUUUGGAAUGAUAAGUUUAAUUUGUAUAAUGAUACGACCUUGUGAUCAAUGUUAGUUUUGUGAUUGUAUAAAUUCCCACACUAAUGGAUUUUAUGAUGUGGUUUCGUUUACAUGAGUUGGCUUUGGAUUUUAUGAAUCUUUGAGUGUUGUGUCGUAUGAUUAUAACUACCAAGUCUUAUGAAUUGUGGAUUAUGGGUGUGAAUUAUGACUUGAAUGAUUUUUAGUGUCAUCAAAUUUAGGAUUUCGUCUUAGAUUGUUGACUGAAUGAUUUAGUAAAUUAUGACUUGAAUGAUUUUUAGUGUCCUCAAAUUUAGUUUGGAUUUCGUAUUAUAUUGUUGACUGAAUUUUAAUAUUAUGGAUUUUAAGACAGGGUCACACCUCCUGAAUGUGAUAAAUCGGGGGGCG
rnacentral:lncRNA from 1 species